CCAGAGAACUUAGCAGAGAUGCUUUGGUGCCUUCGGGAACUCUGAGACAGGUGCUGCAUGGCUGUCGUCAGCUCGUGUUGUGAAAUGUUGGGUUAAGUCCCGCAACGAGCGCAACCCUUAUCCUUUGUUGCCAGCGGCUCGGCCGGGAAACUCAAAGGAGACUGCCGGUGAUAAACCGGAGGAAGGUGGGGAUGACGUCAAGUCAUCAUGGCCCUUACGGCCAGGGCUACACACGUGCUACAAUGGCGCAUACAAAGAGAAGCGACCUCGCGAGAGCAAGCGGACCUCAUAAAGUGCGUCGUAGUCCGGAUUGGAGUCUGCAACUCGACUCCAUGAAGUCGGAAUCGCUAGUAAUCGUAGAUCAGAAUGCUACGGUGAAUACGUUCCCGGGCCUUGUACACACCGCCCGUCACACCAUGGGAGUGGGUUGCAAAAGAAGUAGGUAGCUUAACCUUCGGGAGGGCGCUUACCACUUUGUGAUUCAUGACUGGGGUGAAGUCGUAACAAGGUAGGCGUAGCGAG
rnacentral:rRNA from 1 species